GACGAACGCUGGCGGCGUGCUUAACACAUGCAAGUCGAACGCUGAAGACCUGGCUUUUGUUGGGUUGGAUGAGUGGCGAACGGGUGAGUAACACGUGAGUAACCUGCCCUCUUCUUUGGGAUAACGCCCGGAAACGGGUGCUAAUACUGGAUAUUCACUGGCCUUCGCAUGGGGGUUGGUGGAAAGGUUUGUUCUGGUGGGGGAUGGGCUCGCGGCCUAUCAGCUUGUUGGUGGGGUGAUGGCCUACCAAGGCUUUGACGGGUAGCCGGCCUGAGAGGGUGACCGGUCACAUUGGGACUGAGAUACGGCCCAGACUCCUACGGGAGGCAGCAGUGGGGAAGAUUGCACAAUGGGCGAAAGCCUGAUGCAGCGACGCCGCGUGAGGGAUGGAGGCCUUCGGGUUGUAAACCUCUUUCGCUCAUGGUCAAGCCGCAACUGUGGGUUGUGGUGAGGGUAGUGGGUAAAGAAGCGCCGGCUAACUACGUG
rnacentral:rRNA from 1 species